UACGGGGGAGCAAGCGUUGUUCGGAUUUACUGGGCGUAAAGGGCGCGUAGGCGGCCACCGCAAGUCAGUUGUGAAAUCUCUGGGCUUAACCCAGAACGGUCAGCUGAUACUGCGGGGCUAGAGUGCAGAAGGGGCAACUGGAAUUCUCGGUGUAGCGGUGAAAUGCGUAGAUAUCGAGAGGAACACCUGCGGCGAAGGCGGGUGCUGGGCUGACACUGACGCUGACAGCGCGAAAGCUAGGGGAGCGAACGGG
rnacentral:rRNA from 1 species